rnacentral:misc_RNA from 1 species
CCUAGAGUUGUAGGCUUUGCCUGCUAUCUCUUACCCAUGUCUUUUGAGUACUUACGUUUCCUCGGCGGGUCCGCCCGCCGAUUGGACAAUUUAAACCAUUUGCAGUUGCAGUCAGCGUCUGAAAAACUUUAAUAGUUA